rnacentral:misc_RNA from 1 species
GAAAUGCGAUAAGUAAUGUGAAUUGCAGAAUUCAGUGAAUCAUCGAAUCUUUGAACGCACCUUGCGCUCCUUGGUAUUCCUUGGAGCAUGCCUGUUUGAGUAUCAUGAAAUCUUCAAAGUAAAUCUUUUGUUAACUCAAUUGUUUCUACUUUGGUAUUGGAGGUCUUUGCAGCUUCACACCUGCUCCUCUUUGUUCAUUAGCUGGAUCUCAGUGUUAUGCUUGGUUCCACUCGGCGUGAUAAGUUAUCUAUCGCUGAGGACACUGUAAAAGGUGGCCAAGGUAAAUGCAGAUGAACCGCUUUUAAUAGUCCAUUGACUUGGACAAUACUUUUAUGAUCUGAUCUCAAAUCAGGUAGGACUACCCGCUGAACUUAAGC